rnacentral:rRNA from 1 species
ACGAACGCUGGCGGCGUGCUUCACACAUGCAAGUCGAACGGAAAGGCCCUGCUUGCCGGGUACUCGAGUGGCGAACGGGUGAGUAACACGUGGGUGAUCUGCCCUGCACUUCGGGAUAAGCCUGGGAAACUGGGUCUAAUACCGGAUAGGAGCCAUUUUUAGUGUGAUGGUUGGAAAGUUUUUUCGGUGUAGGAUGAGCUCGCGGCCUAUCAGCUUGUUGGUGGGGUAAUGGCCUACCAAGGCGGCGACGGGUAGCCGGCCUGAGAGGGUGGACGGCCACAUUGGGACUGAGAUACGGCCCAGACUCCUACGGGAGGCAGCAGUGGGGAAUAUUGCACAAUGGGCGCAAGCCUGAUGCAGCGACGCCGCGUGGGGGAUGACGGCCUUCGGGUUGUAAACUCCUUUCGCUAGGGACGAAGCUUUUUGUGACGGUACCUAGAUAAGAAGCACCGGCUAACUACGUG